GAGUUGUAAUUUGAAGAGGCGUUUUCUGAGGUUCUGAUCAGUCCAAGUCCUUUGGGAUAAGGCAUCACGGAGGGUGAGAAUCCCGUUCGGUUGAUCAGAUCUUCUUUACGAUACGUCAUCAAAGAGUCAAGUUGUUUGGGAAUGCAGCUUAAAAUGGGAGGUAAAUUUCUCCUAAGGCUAAAUAACGGCGAGAGACCGAUAGCGAACAAGUACCGUGAGGGAAAGAUGAAAAGAACUUUGAAAAGAGAGUUAAAUAGUACGUGAAAUUGUUGAAAGGGAAACGAUUGAAGCCAGUCGUACCGGCGGGUAAUCAGCCUUUUGGGUGUGAUUAUGUGGAGCGUGAGGAGCUAAUCGCCUUCAUCUUUGCAUAUUCGUGCACUUUGGGUGUACUUGCUCGUGUGGUAGGUUAACAUCAAUUUUGAUUAUCAUAAAAUGAUUGAAGGAAUGUAGCUUCGAACUCGUAUUGAAGUGUUAUAGCCUUUGGUAGAUGUGAUGAUCGGGAUUGAGGAUUGCAACGGAUACCCUUCGGGGCUACCCGUCUGAUCUCUGAAAGUUGCUCUGGUGCUGAAAGCUUGCUU
rnacentral:rRNA from 1 species